rnacentral:lncRNA from 10 species
UUGGCCUAACAUAUCAAUAGUGUUAACAGUGAGAAACCAUGCUGUACAUUGUGAGCCUUCCGUACUGUUUGAUGAUCUAGGAGAGACAUCUGGAGACCUACAGCAGUGUUUAAGCUACCAACACUAGUGAGAAAACUCAAUACAACCACAGUGAAGAAUGGGGCAUAUAAUAAUCUGGACACACCCCAAGAUAUGGCCAAUCUCUUGGGGCACUGCUUUGCACCUACAUGCCUGCAAGUAACAUCCAUAGUGCAGCCCCGUUUAAGAAAAAGUACUGACAUCACACUAUAUAUGAGGUGAAAUGAGUAGAAGGAUAAUGUAGUAACAAGAAUGAAACUAGUGGCAAGAGUUCCUAGGCAUAUGAUCUAAAAUAUAUUUUAUCCUCAUUUAUAUAUUC